GAUGAACGCUAGCUACAGGCUUAACACAUGCAAGUCGAGGGGUAACGAGAGGCAAGCUUGCUUUCCUUGUCGACGACCGGCGCACGGGUGAGUAACGCGUAUCCAACCUGCCCCCAACUAAGGAAUAACCUUGCGAAAGUAAGACUAAUACCUUAUAAUUUCCUCAGAUGACAUCGGACGAGGACUAAAGACUUAUCGGUUGUGGAUGGGGAUGCGUCUGAUUAGCUUGUUGGCGGGGUAACGGCCCACCAAGGCAACGAUCAGUAGGGGUUCUGAGAGGAAGGUCCCCCACAUUGGAACUGAGACACGGUCCAAACUCCUACGGGAGGCAGCAGUGAGGAAUAUUGGUCAAUGGGCGGAAGCCUGAACCAGCCAAGUAGCGUGCAGGAUGACGGCCCUAUGGGUUGUAAACUGCUUUUAUACAGGAAUAAAGUUAGCCACGUGUGGUUAUUUGUAGGUACUGUAUGAAUAAGGACCGGCUAAUUCCGUGCCAGCCGCCGCAGUAA
rnacentral:rRNA from 1 species